AUGGCAGUUAUUCUAUGUUGCAUUUCGUGAGCCAGAAAAUACGACAGCUUCACGUCUGUGACGUCACAUGCCCAAAAAUGACGGUGUUCGAUAUAUGACGUCACGCUAUAAUAUCCAUGUCAUUAAAUUUUGGAAUCCAUUGAAGAAAAAAACUACACUGUUUUAUCUUCGGUCUUUUAAUUGAAAGAGAUACAGCAAUGACGAAGCUUGUAUAAAUUAAUACAUGGACAUAGGUGUACCUCCGGCAGCAAGAGGGGUUAAAACUUGUUGCAUGACGUCAGAAUAUUUUCCGGAAGCAAAUCUGAAAUACAGGGCUGCUUGAAGACAGCUUAAUACCAAAAUUGUAAGUUAGUACGUGUAUAAUAUAUCUAGAUUUGCCAAAGUUAUUGCUACUGCAAGUUUGAUCUUUCAUCCAGCCUUAUUUUACAUUAGUGAAUAAAUAAACUAAUCAUAGAUACCAGGACUAAAUUUAGAAUAUACGCCAGACGCGCGUUUCGUCUACAAAAGACUCAUCAGUGACGCUUGAAUCCAAAAAAGUUAAAAAGGCCAAACAAAAUACGAAGUUGCAGAGCAUUGAGAACUAAAAGUUCUAAAAGUUUUGCCAAAUAUAGUCUUGUAUGAAUCAUCAUUACAUAAUCUGGAUAAGUAGAAGAACGGCCUUUGAUACCACAAUUGUUGACAUUUUUACGUAUUUUUAUAUUUCAUAAUAUGUUUUCCUUACACAUUGUUUUAAAUGUAAAGGAAUUAUUUGUAACUGGCAUAAAAGUGAGAUGCUAAUCAAUCCAAGAUUUCAUAAAGAACAUGCCUGUGGCUGUACCAUGUUAGGAAUACAGUUUUCUAUUUGUUUGAUAUGUUUUGACUUAAAUUGCCUUUUGAUAAAAAGGGACUUUUUGUUGACUAGUAACUUUUUUUCGAAAGACGCAAAUUAAAGCAAACUCCUGUGGCCUUUGUUAUGAUUUUUAAGUUCAUUUAUAUGUUUCGGAGUUUUAAUAGUAAGACGUCUAUUAUCACUGAAAUAGAACACAUUUUUAAGGGACCAGAAGAAGCACGCCUUCCGGUGCAGGAUUUUCUCGUUGUGUUGAAGACCCAUUGUUGGCCUUCGCUUGUUUUCUGCUCUUUGUUCGGGUUUGUUGUCUCUUUGACACAUUCCACAUUUCCAUUCUCAAUUUUAUCCGUGUCUAAGAGUCUCCUCCCUGAAACUCAAAAGGAACGCUAACUGAUCACACGACAAUACAAAGCAAGCUCAAUAAGGACUAGAAAAAGUAAUAAAUUGAUACAAUAUGUGUUUCUGAAUGGAAGGGGGAAAUCUUUAAAUGCAACAAUGGGAGGAAUUUGUUAUGUUGGAAAGUCGUCCCCAUUCAGAUCAGGCGUGACUGCGUAUUUAUACAUUCCGAAGUGCAGACGGACUUUGCUGUUGGAAAACAAAAUGAGCACGCUUCCAUAACAUCCAUUCAACUGGCAAUCAUUGCAGUUCGAUGACAUGAUAUUGAUACAAGUCGUCCUAAAUUAUGUUGUUGCCGGUGGUUUAAAAUCAAUUUUAUAUAGUGAUGUCAAAUCGAUUUUUUUUUUUUGCCCAACCGGUUACUCGAUCAAUCUAUCGACCAGUAAACCGAUAGUAAGUUAAGGUUUAAGUACCCUUCUGUAGCCAUUUUGUACGAAUUUUUCAAACCUCAAAUGUAUCAAAACUACAGAUAUAAUGAAUAAUAGAGAUAGUUCAUUUAGUACAUAUUCCAAGGGGAAACUUGAUGCAAAGCAUUAUUUUUUACUGUUUCAUUGCAUUUGAUAGAAAAGAGGACUUUGUGGCAAAUAAAUCAAGAUUUUUAUUAGAACAUCCACAGCCUUUAAUACAGAGAUUUUGUUAUAAAUUUUGAAAAUAAAUUACUCACUUGAUUUUCUAUGACGUGCUAGUGUUUAUUUUUUACAAAAAGUUCUAAGCAACCUGUGAAUUCCAAAAAACCUCGUGCUGAGUCACUAAAAAGUCGAACGCACCCUAAAAGGUUGUACUGAUUUGGCCCAUAUUUAUAUUUGUUUUAACCAAUAACUACAUUUAUAAAUUUGUUUUAAGGAAAUCAAUGCUAGCACUGCAUGCAAUAAUCCUAUAUCUAUCAGUCAUCAAAUUGCCAAAUAUGAGAGUACAAGGAUAAAGGCUGCGGAUUUUCUAUAAAAAUCUUGAUUUAUUUGCCACAAAGUCCCUUUUUUCUAUUAAAUGAAAUGGAACAGUAAAAAAUAAUGCUUUGCAUCAAGUUUCCCCUUGGAAUAUGUACAAAAUGGCCUACCUCUAUUAUUCAUUAUAUCUGUAGUUUUGAUACAAUUGAAAUUUGAAAAGUUCGUACAAAAAUGGCUACAGAAGGAUACAUAAACCUUAAAAGAACUAUACAAUUGAUUCACGGCGUAUUUAGAAUGAACAUUAUGAUAAUUUUUGAAAGAAUCACGUAUGUAAAUAACAUAGCUGUUAACGUCACUGAAAUAAAGAAGUUGAAUUCGCAUUGCUUAAGAUGUGUCACUGUACUUUUCUAUCCCAAAUUCAUGUAUUUAGUUUUGAUGUUAUAUUUGUUAUUCUCAUCGGAUUUUGUCAAAUGUCUUAACGUCUUUUCUGUUAUAUUCGUGUAUUAUGGUAAAGAUGAUUAAUCACCCCUUCAUUUAUUAGAUUUUAGUUUGUUUCAACGAAGUUUAUACGAUAUAUUUGGUUUAAAGUUUGUUUCAGAAGAAACACCGACAUAGCUAGAUAAUACAAUUAAUUGUCUAAUUACUACCACAAUUUGAUAUUAAUAAGUAUUGUAAUUUUCAUUGUUAUUUAUAAAUGUAAUAUCAGUAUUACAAAUCUAAUGUUAAAUCAAUCCUAAUUCUAUCUUAUUUUGGGGAAAUAUUUUAACAAAUUCAAAUGUGAUCUCACUUUGUGUGUUUUUUUAAGAAUUUCAAAUGCACGUCUGUCGUGUUAAAUUUUAAAACUGGUACCCUUUGUUAGCUAUUAUUCGUGUGUUUCUCUGUCCUUUAUGUUCUCCACUUUAUUCUGUCAUGAAAUGUUGUCAUUUUAAUUUUAUAUUUAACAUUGCCAUAAAAGCUGGAGAUUUGGUAUGCCAUAAAACAAGGUUCUACUCACCAUUUUUUUCUUACAAUGUCCUGUACCAAGUCAUGCCAUUGUUAUAUUAUAGUGUGCUACAUUUAAAUGUUGUUUCUAUUGUGUCAUUGUUCUCUUAUAUUUGAAGCGUUUCCCUCAGUUUUAGUUUGUAACCCGGAUUUGUAUUUUUCUCAAUCGAUUUAUGAGUUUCAAACCGCGGUAUACUACUGUUGCGUUUAUGUAAUAUCUCAAUUGGUUAUUUUUAUUUACUUAGCUUAACCGGUACUAAUACAAAGCUACGAAAUCACACAACAGAAAAAAGAAAAGACAACGGCUUCAGCAUUCAAGCUAAAAAUAUGAUAUUAUGGCACUUUUCAGAUAUUUCUUUAAAAAAAAAAACGUGUUCACCCUCCACCUUUAUAUAUGUUAUACUAAAUAUUUUUGGAGGUAUUAACCUACUCUGCGCGCGUUGUAUUGGAAUAUUUUAAGCAACUAAACAUUUGCAGAAAACGUAUUAGUUUAAUAUUCACAAUAUAUUAAGAAGAAAAAAAAACUAAAUGUAUUAAAAGUUUAUUGUUUACGGACAAACAUACAUCCAUUAUCAAUUCAUAAAUGUGUGUCUGUAUUUUUUUACGUUUUAAAAACCUUUGUUUUUCUGUACCGUAAUUAAAACUAAAUGUAUUAAAAGUUUAUUGUUUACGGACAAACAUACAUCCAUUAUCAAUUCAUAAAUGUGUGUCUGUAUUUUUUUACGUUUUAAAAACCUUUGUUUUUCUGUACCGUAAUUAACAUUUUCCGUGAUCAUUUCAAAAUCAUUUAAACCUAUAGAACACAGGACAUGAUUGCAAAUGCAAUAAUUUUACUCAUUUUUCUCAUUGUCUGACUCGAUAAGUACAUUUGCUUUUGAACUUUUUUGUAUGCUUCAAUCAUCCAUAUUGUUUAUUUUUUCAAAAAGGAAUGGAUAGAAAUAACAGUUGUGAAAUCAUAAGUGGACAUAUAAAACUAUUCAGCUUUGAUGAUACUACAACCAAGUAUACACAACAGACAACAACGGCACAAUGAUGAUAACAAUGGCACAAUGGUGAUAACAACUGCAAGAACACGAACAAAAUGAAAAUGGUAAUUAUAGGUUUGUUAUUGCUCGACUUACGUACAGAGGCGAAUAUGUUAUGCAAAUAAGGACUAAUAACUCAUCGUGUAAUGUUGUUCGUACAUUGACAAUUACAUAUGAAUAAACAACAAUAUGGGUUGAGUGCCAAUGAGACAACUCUCCAUCCAAAUCACAAUUAAAAUAUACAAUGUAAAAAUUUAUAGGCCAAAGUACGGUUUUACUUUACAACAAGGAGCCUUGGAUCACAUCGAACAAGCAAGCUAUACUAAAUGGCAAUAAAAUGACUGGUGUAAACAAAUAAAAAAACGUCUGAUUUUAUUUACUGAUUUUCAAUCCUUUUAAAAAUAAAAUCAUAUAUAUACAGGAAAAAAAACGUCGAUUUUUCCGAGACUUGAUAUUUAUUGAUCUUUCUUUUUUUUUUAUAUAUAGAAGACGAGGAGAAUGAAGGACCAAAUAGCAUGAACAUACCUUUUUGUAAUUUUUGAGGUGUGCCAUCUACAAAAAAAGGGGUCGAAAACGCCUUUUGUGGGACUCGUAUUCACACUUUUGGC
rnacentral:lncRNA from 1 species